rnacentral:rRNA from 1 species
AGAGUUUGAUCCUGGCUCAGGAUGAACGCUGGCGGUAUGCCUAACACAUGCAAGUCGUACGGAAAAGAAAUUUUUAGUGGCGAACGGGUGAGUAACGCGUGAGAAUUUGCUUUUAGGUAGAGGAUAACGAAUAGAAAUAUUCGCUAAAACUCUAUAACUCUAUUAAAAAAAUAGCUAAAAAAGAAAUUUGCCUAGAAAAAAGCUCGCGUCUGAUUAGCUAGUUGGUAAGGGAAAGGCUUACCAAGGCGACGAUCAGUAGCUGAUUUGAGAGGAUGAUCAGCCACACUGGAACUGAGACACGGUCCAGACUCCUACGGGAGGCAGCAGUGAGGAAUUUUCUGCAAUGGGCGAAAGCCUGACAGAGCAAUACCGCGUGAGGGAAUAAGAAGGCCUAUGGGUUGUAAACCUCUUUUCUCAAAGAAGAAGAUCUGACGUUAUUUGAGGAAUAAGCAUCGGCUAACCCUGUGCCAGCAGCCGCGGUAAU